CUGAGACACGGGCCAGACUCCUACGGGAGGCAGCAGUAAGGAAUAUUGGGCAAUGGGCGCAAGCCUGACCCAGCCAUGCCGCGUGCAGGAUUGACGGCGCAUAGCGUUGUAAACUGCUUUUCUCAGGGAAUAACUACCCAUUCGUUGGGGGCUGAAUGUACCUGAGGAAUAAGCACCGGCUAACUACGUGCCAGCAGCCGCGGUAAUACGUAGGGUGCAAGCGUUGUCCGGAAUCACUGGGUUUAAAGGGUGCGCAGGCGGUGCGGUAAGUCGAGGAUGAAAUGUCGGGGCUUAACCCCGGCGCUGUUCUCGAUACUGUCGCACUUGAGAAUGGUUGAGGUGCCUGGAACGAGUGGUGUAGCGGUGAAAUGCGUAGAGAUCACUCAGAA
rnacentral:rRNA from 14 species